ACACCUGUUCCCAUCCCGAACACAGAAGUUAAGCUCCACAGAGCCGAUGGUACUUGGACCGCAGGGUCCUGGGAGAGUAGGACGUCGCUAGGC
rnacentral:rRNA from 1 species